rnacentral:lncRNA from 1 species
UGUAAUCAUUUUAUUCAUUCCAUUCAAUUAUAGUCAUUCAAUGAAUGAAAUCCAUAUUCUUUUGCUCUUGAAUUUCUAAUAAAUAUUUCAUAAGAUACAUGGCUUCUUUGUUUAUUGUUGAUUAUUUUCCAAUGAGGCGACAAGACUUUAUUGUCUACAAUCCUUCCAAUACACGAUAGUUUGAAUAGGAUUGUUUUACACCAUGAUACCAUUAUUCUAACAUGCACAAUGGCAAACUUUAUGUCCACCUCUGAUUUUGCAUACUCCAUUAUUACAGAAGUUUUCUUGUACACACUUCUCAUUGCAUGAAGCAUCUUUACAAUUAUCGUCCAUAUAGUCUUUGCAACACUUGUUUUCUGAACUUCCUGAAAAUAAUUAACAUUUAUAAUUUGACAAAGAAUUUAGUAGAAGGUUCAUGGAAUAUCAUAUUUUUAACAUGGCAUACAAGAAAUUUUACACGAAGAUUUUUAUGCAAAGAUAUUUCUUAUAAGACAAUAUGACUGACAAAUAGCAAUCCCAACUUAUUAACAUUAUAGUUAAUAUCAUCACAAUAAAGUAUUAGGAAAUAAGAUGUUCACAAAUAUAAAUAAACUAUUGUCUAUCAAAAAAUAGUCUAAUGAUUCAACAGAAAAUCAUUUAUUUAGUAAAAAAGUAAUAGUAUUAGCUUUAGUGAAAAAUGAAAAUGAAAAUAAGUAGGGUCACAAUGAAGUAAAACCUGGUUGUAGUAUAAUUAGUAAGAUGAAGAGGGAACAUAGAAAUGCUCUCUUAGCCAUGAUAACUUUGAAUUGUGUCAUGUUUUUUUCCUUUGAAUUUUUUUAGAC